CGUAGGGUGCGAGCGUUAAUCGGAAUUACUGGGCGUAAAGCGUGCGCAGGCGGUUUUGUAAGCCAGAUGUGAAAGCCCCGGGCUUAACCUGGGAAUGGCAUUUGGGACUGCAAGGCUUGAGUGCGGCAGAGGAGACUGGAAUUCCUGGUGUAGCAGUGAAAUGCGUAGAUAUCAGGAGGAAUACCGAUGGCGAAGGCAGGUCUCUGGGCUGACACUGACGCUCAUGCACGAAAGCGUGGGGAGCAAACAGGAUUAGAUACCCUGGUAGUCCACGCCCUAAACGAUGUCGACUGGUUGUUGGGGGUUUAACACUCUCAGUAACGAAGCUAACGCGUGAAGUCGACCGCCUGGGGAGUACGGCCGCAAGGUUA
rnacentral:rRNA from 1 species